GUGGUCCUACGGGACGCAGCAGUGAGGAAUAUUGGUCAAUGGGCGAGAGCCUGAACCAGCCAAGUCGCGUGAGGGAAGACGGUCCUAUGGAUUGUAAACCUCUUUUGUCGGGGAGCAAAAAGGCCUCGUGAGGCCACAAGCGAGAGUACCCGAAGAAAAAGCAUCGGCUAACUACGUGCCAGCAGCCGCGGUAAUACGUAGGGGGCUAGCGUUAUCCGGAAUUACUGGGCGUAAAGGGUGCGUAGGUGGUUUCUUAAGUCA
rnacentral:rRNA from 1 species